GUUAUGUUCGUAUUUCCACUGGCUGAAUUAAUUUUAUCCAACUUCUGCAAUCACGACCCCUGACAUUCACUAACAGCACUGCAUCCGUUCUUCUCUUAUUUUUUGUUGUUUUAUUACUACCAAACUACUCUUUUAACCAGUUGAUAAAGUGAACUGGAAAAUUUGCAUCCAGGCAUCAAUCAUUCUGAGAUUUCGCUGUCUACCAAAUAUUUGCAGUAAUCCGAAGACAUCAGUUUAAAUCGAGGCAUCUUGGAAAACUGCUGCUUUAUCUCCAAUUCAUUGGUGGUUGCUUUGUCGCCAAACAUACAAAGGCAAUCCUUUUGUGCUGAAAAAGCUAUCAUUCCUGUCUCAUGCAUAAACUCUUACAUAACCAUUUGUGCCUAACUUCAGCACUGCUCGUUAAUGCAGAAAAUUCGAAGUUCGCUGCCGGACACCUGGAUGACCUUGUAGCACUAGUGACCAGUGAAACAAUGGAAAAGAAGUUAUGCCGCGAGUAUGCUUGAAAAGUGAAAAGAAAAAAUUACAAUAAUUAGAACUGCUGAAACGCCUUUCUGUAUGCACUUUGUGUUGCUUCCUGGGUGGUCACCAGUGAUUCGGUAGAACGUUACCUGGCCAUUGUGCGAACGACCGGUGUGUAAUACUCAUUUCCAAACUGCCAUUCCCCUGUUGAGGAAGGCUACCGCACCAACAACUGGUGAACUGAGACCGUUUGGUUGUAUAACGUGUAUGCUGGAGGAAAAAGGAAAAGAAUUCAAU
rnacentral:lncRNA from 1 species